rnacentral:rRNA from 1 species
GUCUGCUCAGGAUGAACGCUGGCGGCGCGCCUAACACAUGCAAGUCGAACGGCACCCACCCUCGGGUGGAAGCGAGUGGCGAACGGCUGAGUAACACGUGGAGAACCCGCCCCCUCCUCCGGGAUAGCCUCGGGAAACCGUGGGUAAUACCGGAUGACCCCGCAGGGCCGCAUGGCCCCGCGGGCAAAGCCCAGACGGGAGGGGAUGGCUCCGCGGCCCAUCAGGUAGACGGCGGGGUGACGGCCCACCGUGCCGACGGCGGGUAGCCGGG